ACUCAAAGGAAUUGACGGGGGCCCGCACAAGCAGUGGAGCAUGUGGUUUAAUUGGAUGCUACGCCAAAAACCUUACCAAGACUUGACUUCCCGACGUAAUCUUUAAGAAAUUAGAGACCCCUUCGGGCGUCGGUGACAGGUGGUGCAUGGUUGUCGUCAGCUCGUGCCGUGAGGUGUUGGAUUAAGUUCCGCAACGAGCGCAACCCUCGUCGUUAGUUGCCAUCAUUCAGUUGGGCACUCUAGCGAGACCGCCGGCGUCAAGCCGGAGGAAGGUGGGGAUGACGUCAAAUCAUCAUGCCCCUUACGUCUUGGGCUACACACGUGCUACAAUGGGCGGUACAACGGGUUGCCACAACGCGAGUUGGAGCGAAUCCCUUAAAGCCGUCCUCAGUUCGGAUUGCAGGCUGCAACUCGCCUGCAUGAAGCUGGAAUUGCUAGUAACCGUGGAUCAGCAUGCCGCGGUGAAUACGUACCCGGGCCUUGUACACACCGCCCGU
rnacentral:rRNA from 1 species